UACGUAGGGACCAAGCGUUGUUCGGAUUUACUGGGCGUAAAGGGCGCGUAGGCGGCGCGGUAAGUCACUUGUGAAAUCUCUGAGCUUAACUCAGAACGGCCAAGUGAUACUGCAGUGCUAGAGUGUGGAAGAGGCAAUCGGAAUUCUUGGUGUAGCGGUGAAAUGCGUAGAUAUCAAGAGGAACACCUGAGGUGAAGACGGGUUGCUGGGCCAACACUGACGCUGAGGCGCGAAAGCCAGGGGAGCAAACGGG
rnacentral:rRNA from 1 species